AAAGUGCCAUUUUACAUAAUUAAAGUCAAAUAUAUUGUGAAAAAAGUAGUUUUCGGGAAAAAUUGCAAUAUUGUGAGAAAAUGUUUUCAUUUCAUACAAGAAUUUGUAAGAAUAUUCUGAGAAUUUGUAUUUUAUUUUACAAGACACAAUUACAGUAUAAACAAGAAUAAAGUCAAAUAUAUUGUGAAAAAGUUUUUCUUUAAAAAAAUAAAAGUAAAUAUUGUGAGGAAAAAAUAUUUUACAAUAAUUAUGCACUGGAGGGAUAUUUUAAGACAAAAGUUAAAUUUUACAACACAAUGUAUGUCAUUUUACAUGAUUAAAGUAUUUUGAAAACAUUUUGCUGAAAUGUUUUUUUUACAAAAAAACAUGCUUUUCACUAAUCAUCGGUUUUUUAUUAUUUUAUUGUUAUUUAUAAUUUAUUUUUUUACAUUUGUUUUGUUGUGUGUUUUGUGCUGUGUAUAUACAGUACAUACAUACAUAUAUACAGUAUAUGCGUACAGUAUGUAUGUGUGUGUGUAUGUAUAUAGUUUAAAAUGUGACAAAAAUAUAUGUACAUGUACAACGUUAAUUUGAGUUAUUCUCCAGUGUGGAUGCCUCAAAGGUGGCCUUUUACCUCAAAUCCUCAGUUUCAUGCCAUGUUUAGUUUUUGCCUUGUUAUUGUCAAUAGUGCUGUAUGUGUGUAUUUGUAUGUGCGUGUGUGUGAAUGAAUGUGUAUGUUUUUUUCUUUUCUUCUAUUAUUGUUGUUUAUUUUGUUUUGUUUUGUGCUUGCCACUUGCCUGUGCAUGAAAAGUGCUAUAUAAAUUCAGUUGGAUUUGAUUUGAUUUGAAAAUAAGCCACCAUGGGAUUGAAGAAAGUUGCAAGUGCCAGCCAGCUCUUUAAUAAAGAAGGUGAGAAACACGAUUUAAUUCAUGAAAGAACCCGUAGCGAGGUACAAAGGUGGCAUCCGCAUAGUGCACUACUCCUCGCCGUCUAAAGAAAUUGUUAGAAAUAAAUGGAUCAUUUCUAAAGGUACAAACAGUAUGUGGCAUCCUUGCUGUGUUUAUGAGUCUGUCCCUCCCUCUGCCCUUUUCAACAAAUCUGCUCCACUAUGUGCCGUGACUCAUCUUGUUGUUGUGUCCCUGGAAUCCCCAUGGUAACGGAGUGUGUGUACAGGUGGCGAUUGGUCAGCGCCGGUUGUGUCCGACGUGGACAAAAGGCUGUGCACAAGAUCCCAACAAACCGCUCUCCUCCGGCCCGUCGCCUAGCAACCGGCCGUUAAUCACAUGAGACCGGUGUAGAAGUGGCACCUGGCAGUGAGUGCGUGCAAAGUGGAGGACCUCCCUAUCAGAGGAGCAGAUGUCCUUGCCUUCAAACCUGGAUGCAAGUCAAAAAUCGACAGGACCUCACCUUGCAAAGCCUGUCGUCAUUCCCUGCUUUCGAGCUGUGUGUCUCGUCUCCCCGGAUCCCCUUUGGACUCGACCUUUCGCCUGCCCCCCGGACAACAACGCCUUGCUCCAGCCCCUUACCACUUGCCUGUACCCGGACCUCCGAGUCCGCCUUGCCCUUUCUGGACUUCCGCAUCUGCCUCAACACUUUCCGGUAACAUUCAACAGAUUCACAUAUAGUCUCACCACACG